UACGGAGGAUCCAAGCGUUAUCCGGAUUUAUUGGGUUUAAAGGGUGCGUAGGUGGAUUUAUAAGUCAGAGGUGAAAGCCAACAGCCUAACUGUUGAAAUGCCUUUGAUACUGUAAGUCUUGAGUAUGGUUGAGGUAGGCGGAAUGUGACAUGUAGCGGUGAAAUGCGUAGAUAUGUCACAGAACACCGAUUGCGAAGGCAGCUUGCCAAGCCAUUACUGACACUGAUGCACGAAAGCGUGGGUAGCAAACAGGAUUAGAUACCCUGGUAGUCCACGCCGUAAACGAUGAUGACUCGACGUUGGCGAUAUACGGUCAGCGUCCAAGCGAAAGCGUUAAGUCAUCCACCUGGGAAGUACGAUCGCAAGGUUGAA
rnacentral:rRNA from 1 species